rnacentral:lncRNA from 1 species
GGGAGGAAGUGCGAGCGGGAUCCAAAGGCUUACACAGAGUAGGGUGCCGCUCUGACGCCCAAGAGCAAAUAGAAGAGGGUAGCCUCCGCGCUAAAGCUGGGGCGCUGGGGAGCCCCGGAGAAACCAACGUUUCCUAGUCUGUGGCUCAGUCCCUACUUCCGGCUCCCGAUGCGCAGCAGCGGGAGGGCGACGCCGGCACCGCGGCGACUCCUGGAGCCGAGGCCACGGUGGAAGCGCGAAUGGGAGGUGGAGCGGAGCCACUGCGCCGAGGGACGCUUCAGAAACUCUGUUUCAGUCCUUCGCGGAUCCUAGGAUGUGACAGGUGUUCGAGUUAAAGGGUCUUAAGCCAAUCGUUUGAUCCAAAAGCAGCUGAAUCUUUAGGAGGCCCAGGCAGGAGGAUCGCUUGAGGCCAGGAGUUCGAGACCACCCUGGGCCACAGAGGGAGAGCCCCCAUCUCUACAAAAGAAAUUUUACAAAUCAGCCGGGCAUGAUGGCGGGCACCUGUGGUCCCAACUACUGGGGAGGCUGAGGUGGGAGGAUCGCUUGAUAGCCCAGGAAGUUGAGGGUGCAGAGAUCCCUCCACUGAACUCCAGCCCGGGUGACAGAGCAGAGCGAGACCCUGUCUCAAAAAGAAAAAAAAAAAAAAAAAGCGUAACUGAGACCCAGAAGUGAAAUAAUUAACCAGUGUCACAAAGUAUGAAUGGUUGAGUCACAAAUUGGAUACUGUUUACUUUCUUUAUGUGAUUCCCAUGUAAGGAAUAUUAAAAACAGUAGCUACAUGCUGA